rnacentral:rRNA from 1 species
GAUGAACGCUGGCGGCGUGCCUAAUACAUGCAAGUCGAGCGAACGGACGAGAAGCUUGCUUCUCUGAUGUUAGCGGCGGAAGGGUGAGUAACACGUGGAUAACCUACCUAUAAGACUGGGAUAACUUCGGGAAACCGGAGCUAAUACCGGAUAAUAUUUUGAACCGCAUGGUUCAAAAGUGAAAGACGGUCUUGCUGUCACUUAUAGAUGGAUCCGCGCUGCAUUAGCUAGUUGGUAAGGUAACGGCUUACCAAGGCAACGAUGCAUAGCCGACCUGAGCGGGUGAUCGGCCACACUGGGACGGAGACACGGUCCAGACUCCGACGGGAGGCAGCAGUAGGGAAUCUUCCGCAAUGGGCGGAAGCCUGACGGAGCAACGCCGCGUGAGUGAUGAAGGGCUUCGGAUCGUAAAACUCUGUUAUUAGGGAAGAACAUAUGUGUAAGUAACUGUGCACAUCUUGACGGUACCUAAUCAGAAAGCCACGGCUAACUACGUG